UUGGACCUGCAGCGCAAAGAAACCCGAGCAAUUGUUAUCUGUUCCAGCUUAGUUCCCGAAAAACGAUAGGUUUCGCUUUCGCUUUCCUACUCCUUGCCAAAAGGAGGCGGGCUUUGCCACAUUCCCGGGUUCUGGAUUUCGUGUGGGGAGAAGCACGAAGUGUCUGUGUGGUACAGAAGCAGCAGGAUCAGAAUGAGUGCCACGGAGGACCUUCCGAAGAUCGACCAGGAAUUGUAUUCCCGCCAACUCUAUGUGCUUGGGUUUGAGGCCAUGCAGAAGAUGGCUACAGCAACAGUGCUGGUUUCUGGAAUGACGGGGCUGGGGGUCGAGAUUGCCAAGAAUGUGAUUCUCGCAGGCGUGAAAUCUGUCACACUCCAUGACCAGGAUGAUGCUCAAUGGAAUGACCUGUCC